CGACGCACGGGUGAGUAACGCGUAUCCAACCUGCCCUUUACUAUGGGACAGCCCGUCGAAAGGCGGAUUAAUACCGUAUGUUGUCAUGUUGAUGCAUAUUUUCAUGACCAAAGGCUUCGGCCGGUAAAGGAUGGGGAUGCGUCUGAUUAGCUUGCCGGCGGGGUAACGGCCCACCGGGGCGACGAUCAGUAGGGGUUCUGAGAGGAAGGUCCCCCACAUUGGAACUGAGACACGGUCCAAACUCCUACGGAAGGCAGCAG
rnacentral:rRNA from 1 species